UACGUAGGGGGCAAGCGUUGUCCGGAAUCAUUGGGCGUAAAGAGCGCGUAGGCGGUCCGGUAAGUCCGCUGUGAAAGUCAAGGGCUCAACCCUUGAAUGCCGGUGGAUACUGUCGGGCUAGAGUCCGGAAGAGGCGAGUGGAAUUCCUGGUGUAGCGGUGAAAUGCGCAGAUAUCGGGAGGAACACCAGUGGCGAAGGCGACUUCCUGGCCUGUUCUUGACGCUGAGGCGCGAAAGCUAGGGGAGCAAACGGG
rnacentral:rRNA from 1 species